GGGGCUAUAGCUCAGCUGGGAGAGCGCUUGCAUGGCAUGCAAGAGGUCAGCGGAUCCCGCUUAGCUCCACCA
rnacentral:tRNA from 1 species